UGCCAACUUGAGGCUGGCGUGCAGACCCGGCGGAGUACAGCGAAUGAAUCCUCGAGGUUUUUACAGGUGCUGGAAAGGAUUUCAAAUCUUGCGCGAAUGAAAAUGAGGAAAACGAAGAGGCGGCAAUUUCGAUAGCUUUUGGAGAAUCUAGGUAGUGGAGAAAGGGAGUUGGCUUCAGAGUGGAGAGCGCUGCCUAAUGCUCUAGGGAACUCAAGGAAGUAUGUGAUUUGUGUAUUUGCUAAUUCCUGAAUCAGGUAUCUGAUCCUUUCUUCUUAAAUGCCUUUGGAUUAAUGUGAACGGCGUGUGUUGGAAAAUAGUCUUUGCUUUAAGUACCGUGGAUCCAGGAUUUGUCGAUAGGGUGCUGAACUUGUUGAGGUAUGGGGCUGAAGCCUGAAGAUACCUGCACAAAGCACAAUGUAGAGGCAACCUCUAAGCCAAAUUUUUCUGGACAGUCAGCAGCAUAGUUCGUUUUUUUGGUCCAAAUAGAAUCUUAAUGUUUUUAGGAUUAUGGCUCAAACACUUACUAUAAUAAAUACUCCCUCUGUCCCGUUCACUUUGCAUGCAUUCCUUUUUUGGGCUGUCUCAUUCGAUUUGGCCUAAUCCAUUUUUGGCAAAACUAAGGAUCACUAAUUACACAGCAAAAGCCUAAUGAUAGGUCAUAACACUUAAUACAAUAAACACUCGCUCUUAAAUAAUCGUACCAAGAAUAACUAGGCCAUAUUCCAUUGAUUCAACAAUAGGUGCAUUGAAAGUACAGAAAGAGCCACCUCUAUACGUUUUUUUUAAAGAAAUUGUUUAAUCUUCUACAAAAAUAAACUAAUUUUCAUUAUUAAUUGUUCAUAAUCUUAUUUUAACUAGGAGCAGCAUUGAAAAUUAACUAAGAAAGGGGAAAAAAUACAAAAAUAACACAAAUUUAACAAACUAAUAUAGCAAAUCACUGUUAAACGUAAGCAAUUAUUAUGGGUUCUAUAAUUAUUAAACCAAUGUAUUAUGUUCUAUCUUCUCAUCUUAUUUCUUAUAUAUAAAAUUGGGAGGGGACUUCAGCCCUCCGGCUUUUAGUGUCAAAAUAGUGUAAUUGCAUCUGCAUGGACUGGUUUUGUUCUUUUAAGGAGUUUGUGUUUGGCUAUGGCUUAUCAUGGUUGAGUUGUGGCUGGAAUUCUUGAACUAGAAGAAUUCAAUAUCUUAUAUUGUCUUCCCUUUAGAACUACAGUUUAAGUGAAAAGUGGCUAUGGGAAGAAUUUGUGCUAGACAGUUCACUUUUAGCGAACCUCGCUCUCGAUGUUAGAAAUUAUAUGCUAGAUACGUCUCUUGAGCAACUGACCACUUGAAAUUCCUAAGGAAAUCAAUGAGAUGCAUUUUUUGGACUUGACUGCUCAUAUGGAGGAAUAGAAACCUGAAAUGAGGGUCAAUUGAAUUAAAACAAAUUGAAUAUUUUUAAAAAUGAUAGGUUGGCACUCUGUUUCCUUUAAGAAGUCUUGUCCUUUCGUCAUUAUUUGGAGAGUUCUUGCACUUUUAUCUUGAGAUUUCUGAUAUUCAUAUGAAUAUAUGCACUUCCAUAAUGAAGAUAUGUAAAAUUUUAACUCUUGGGUAGGGUCACAUAAAGGAUUAAAAAAGAUUAUGUGUGGGAAUGAAAAAAAGAUGUAGUUUGCUAUUUUAUAAACAUUUUAAUAUUAUUCUUUAUUUAUCUUACAUUAGUUCAUGAAGAGUCUCUGCUUGAUGGACUUAAUCCAAAUAAUAUGCUCUUUAUGUUCAUUUUUUUUUUUUGACUUGGGGGGAGUUGGGGAAGGGGAGUAGUGGAGUUUGAACCCGGGACCUCACUGUUCAUACACAGGAGAUCACACCGCUUGGUGUCCCCUUAGGGACAUAAUAUGCUCUUUAUGUAUGGAAAGAUAAAAGUUGGUAUCAUAAGAAAAAAAAAAGCACACCAGUUUUUAAGAUAUUAAGAUACUUGUUAAAGUUACAUCUAACAUUGUUGAUGCAAGUCAAAUAUAUUAUAUUUCCAUCAAGAUCAACUAAAUAUAUUAUAUAUUUCCGUCAAGGUCAACUAGUUUUGGUCAUAAAUUACCAUAUUCAUUAUGUUUAUCUUUCUUGAGUUUCCACUUUCCUACAUUUUUUAUAAGUGGUCUUUCUAAGUGAUUCUUUUAUCUAGAAAACUUUAGAAAAUUUCUACAAGUUGUCUACACGUUGAUGAAUUCCUACUUUAAUUCUGAAAACUUUCACUGGUUCUCAGUCUUUAUGGAUAGUUUAAGAAGGGACAAAUGAAUGCUCUUAUAAAUUGCUGCACUUGUUGGCUAAUCUGAAAUUCAUAUGUUGGAGUUUGUUUGAGGUAUUCACUAGCACUCUUAUUUUCUCAAAUUAGGUUGUGAAGUUAUAUGGAUUGAAGGGAUACCUAUUGACAACUUAAGCCACUAGUCUGUAAAGGUUUCUUAUACAAUGAAUUUCAUUAAGGCAUGUGCAUUCAGUACUUUUUAUAUGAUUAGUAAUUAUGAGAAGGUAUUUGAUAAGAUUAGUGGUUUACUGAAUAAUCUAAACUAAUUAUAUAUUUUACACUAACCAAAACUAAAACUCACAAGAUAUAUUACAAUAAGUCAGUAACUAACAAAAAAUCAUACUCCCUCCGUCCGCCAAAAAUAUUCCACAAUUACUAUAUUUGGCGUCCGCAAAAAGUAUUCCACUUUCCUUUUUAAGCCAUGGUCCCACCAUCCACCUUUAUAUUUUAUCCUUACAAACACUCUUUAUUUACAAAAAACCCACCCCAAAUUCAAUCUCAACCACACAUCUCAUAAAGUGGUGGGACCCUUUCUCCACUACAUCAACAUCAUCACACAUUUUAUUAAACUCCGUGCCCGGCCAAAGUGGAAUACUUUUGGCGGACGGAGGGAGUAUAAUUUUAAUAUUGGAGAUGUACAAUAAUGAACAUGAUUUCAAUAUGAUAAAAUUACAUACACAUGUAGAAUGCCUAUGUGUUUUUGGUGCACAAAUAAUUUGUUGUUUUUUGUAAUUGUAUAUUAUCAUAAGUUAAUAACAUUAAACAUAAUUAAAACAUAUUAAAUAAGAUUAUUGAAGAAUAAUAAAGUGAAGGCAAAAAGUUAAAACAUGAUACUAAGGGGGUGUUUACUUUGGAGAAUUAGCCUUGAUAAAUAAAAAUAGUAAGGCUAAUCCCUUGUUUACUUUGAUGGAUUAAAAUUUUUGGAUAUCCCAAGGUCCUUGAUUAUUUCUAUCAUUUAAGCUAGUUUGCUUGACUCCUAUCCCAUUGAAAGGGUUGGAUUGGAAGAAGUCUUAGUCUAGGAUAAAAAUACUCAAUCAUGCAUCUAACCCUAAGGUUGAAAUGAGUGUCAUUUACCAUUUACUCCCUUCGUCCCACUAAGCAUGGCUCCUUACUUUUGACACGGUUAUUAAGAAGAAGAGUAGUUAAAGGAGAAAAGUGAUAGAAAGUGGUGGAGCCCACAACUUUUUGUGAGAUAAAGAGAUUUCCUUUUUUGGAAAGUGCUAUUUGUAAUGGGACAACCCAAAAUGGCAAGGGGGCCAUAUUAAAUGGGACGGAGGGAGUAUUAUAUAUAUCGUUAAUAAAAAGGUUGAAUAUAUAUUAUAUAUUCAGUACUUCAAUUUUCCUAGGCCCUGAGACGACCGACCUCAAUUGCCUCAUGGACAAGCUGGCAUGGCUGAUGGACUUAAUCCAAAUAAUUUUCUCUUUAUGUGUGGAUAAAAAGUUGUCAUCAUUUUGGAAAAAACAAAAUGCACAAAAGUUUUUGAAUUCCUAAGAUAUUUCUUAAGUGAUUCAGUUAAUGAUUCCUACUUUAAUUCUAAAUACAGGUUCUCAGUCUUUACAAAUGGUUUAAAUAGGGGGAAAUUAAUCUCCUGUAAAUUGCUAGUUGUUUCUAGAAUUGCUGAUAAUCUGAAAGUGACCUCAUAUCUUUUUCUCAUUUUCUGAAGUGUUUUCUGGUUAUCUAUUUUUCUCAAAUUAGGUUAGGAUUUAUAUGGAUUGACUUACCUAUAAAUUAAUUUCCGAUUACUAGAGUUAUAUUGUCUAUAGUAUUUUGUUUUUGUGUUGCCAUUUUGUUGUUUAGUUAAUAAUGCUAUGAAAGGGAUGUUAACUAAUCAGCAAAUUAUCUAAGUGACCCAGAUUGAAAAGCUAAAGCUUAUAGAUUCAUUCAAUGUUGGAAAGGUUUUUUAUUUCAUUAAAGCAUUUCAAUUAUGUUAUGUAUUUUUACAUGACUUGUAAUUAUGAAUAAUUUGCAUUAUUGGUUACUGGAUGCCAUGUUUUAUAUAAGUGAUGAAAUUCCAAACUGUAGCAAAUACUGGCAUCAUCAUCAUCACAUACUAUGAUCUCUGUCUCUCACUCGUCAUGGCGCACACUAACAUGCUGUGUCUAACCUGUAGUAGAAAAGAUUUUCUAGAAACUUUUGUGCGAUUCUUACAUCCUCCAUGUACUUUAAUGCAAAGUUGCAAACCAUUGCUGAUGUAUAUUUUUCUUGUUGAUUAUGUAACCUACAACCACACUUCUAGUUAGAUCUAAAUCCAAAUUCUUUUUGCACUGUUACAAUAUUCUCUCUCGAGAUAAAAUGCUUCACCCAAGUUCCCCUAUAUUUUCAAUAGAGCUUAGCUUCAUUCAAAGCAUUAGAAACUGUUGGUUCCAAACCGUGGUGUAGUUCAGCACUGAUGGACUUGUUAGAUACUCUCUUGCAAUUUUGUUUAAGCUAGGUAUUUCAUUUAUUAAUCUUGGAGCUGUGAUUGCAUCUUGCUAGAAGACUCUAGAGUAUCAGAACCUGGUUUCAGUUAUAUCUAAUAUGAUGUUAAAUUUUGCUCAUAUCCUUCACCAAAAUAGGAGCAAUAGUAGCUUGCAAAUAGUAAAGAAAUGCUUUAAAUUUAGACCUAUCAAAGGCAUUUAGGGCUUCAAGUUCACCUGUGAUGAUAAUAAUGAUGGUGGUGAUAUUAUGAUGUAGAUGAUAAAAGCAACAAAGGUUAUUAUGAUAAUAUGUCAUCACUAUCAGAUUUUCUAAUCCGCUCCAGCAAAGAUCAUUAAUCUUUUUAGAAGGGGCUUCUGCUUCUAAUUUCUAAUUACAAGGCAGUAUAUUUCUGAAAAAAUCAUAAUGUCCCUUAACCCAGUUAAAUGAAAGUAUGUACUUUAGUGUAAAUUUAGUGAUUUCCCUUAUCCCAUAUGGCCAUGUGAAUGGAAGUUCGUUGUGUUAGAUUUAGAGGGUGUUUGGCUGAGCUUAUAAGCUCCUCAAAACAGCUUAUAAGUUGUUUAGGAGUUUGUAAGCUCAUUCCAAGUGUUUGGUAAAAUAAGUUCCCAAAUAGCUUAUAAGCUCAAAAAAUAAGCUCCAAGAGCUUAUAAGCUCCCAAAAAAAUAAGUUCCUCUACCCCAACUUAUUUGUUUAUAAUCUCAUAUGCAAUAAUCAUUUUACAAUUAUUUUUCAACUAUAAUUUAUUAUUUUCAUCAUAUAUCAUUCAAGUUCAUUUUUCUUCGAUUUUCUCUUUCUAAUUUUUUUUUUCUCUCUAGCAAAAAACUCUCUCUAGCUUAUAAGCUUAAUUAUCCAAACACUUUGAUAACUUAUAAGCUCUUAAAAAUUACAUCUUAUAAGCUCUUUAAAAUAAGCUUAGCCAAACACCCUCUUUAGUGACUGCUGUCAGAACAAUAGAGUGCUUAGUGAAAUUCUUAAAUGGUGAUCCACAUAGAGCAUUUAAGAUGCAAACUACAUAUCUUAUCCUUGUGAAAUAUUUUGAUGAAUAUUCUUUUUAAGUGAUCAACCUCUUCGCUGGGAAAUAGAAAAUAUCUCCGUCGCACAAUUGUACUGAAAAUCUGGCACCAUCUUUUUAAAGUCCUUGAAUCCAUCUAUUCUAGAAAUACUGAGAAUCCUUUAUAUAAGCCAUGAUUGAAGCAGGCCACUCAGACAAAAGUUGUUCAUAGAGUAAAUACCUUACUGUUACUGAUUAGGAUGGGUGGUGCUUCUCUUGUAAAACAUCUCAAAGAUUGUACAUAAAAAUUAAUAAACCAUGUUAGCUUGAGUUGAUUCUAACAUCAUUCUCAACACUGCUUUUAACUAUUAAGAUAAGCUGUAGGAUACCAGGAUUUAUUCCUGGAGGCGAAAAAAAUUAUAAUUUCCACAGGAAUUUGCUGCCCAUUACCUGAUGUAACUAUUAUGCCAUGGAAUCUCAUGCAAUUUGCACCAUGAGCUGGUGAGUGAUUUUCCUUUUUUUUUUUUCUUUUUUUUUUCUUUCUUUAAUUUCCUGGUUGGUGGCAUGAAUUGCAUCGCAUGAAACCUUAUCGAAUACAAGCUUCCAUACUCUUGUCUUCAGAAAGCAUGGCGCUAGAUUUUUGUGAAAUUGUACCUUUUCACCAUUCUCUUCCUUUUGUUUGCAUCUUAGCUUUGGAAUAAAUUCUUAUGUGUAUUGCAUUAUCAGUAUCUAUAAAGGGUAUUUUGCCUUCUUCUGAUUCUUGUUACAUACACAAAAAACAUUGACCAGCCUUUUGUAAUUUGACACACAAAUGUUACACGGCUUCGGAAAUUUCCAGAGCCUUUUAAAUUAGGCAGGUUACUACAUAAAACAUAUGUUGUUAAGCAUGCACAAUAUAUAUAUAUAUAUAUAUAGGGUGCGGUUAUAGUGAGAACCACACUUAUCGUGAGAACAUAAGAACCAUUAAAAUCAAUGCAUCUACUAUAUAAAUUAAUGCAUUCGCUAUUAAAUUUAAUGCAUCCGACAAUAAUAAAUUUUUUGCUCCCUUCAGGAUUCGAACCCAGGAUCUGCAUUCAUCCACCAAGAUGAUGCAUCCACCGUAGAUCUUGAUGAUCGAAUGAUUUAAAAUGGAGACUACGAGAGGGGCUCAACAACACCAGAGGAUGCCAGAUAUCAACUGUCGACCUUUUUAUCUCUUAGUAAUUAUAUUUAAUCAAUCCUUGUUGCCUUUAUUAACAUACAUUGCCUAGGUGGCGGAAUUUACAAAUUAUUCUUACACUGUAUAUUGAUGUUUUGUUUACUGAAAUUAUGCAUAUUGCGAUGCUUAAAUUCUUCAUGCACUCUGAUGAAGAAUAUAAUAGUGGGUCAGUGGGUGAAUGUCAAUUUUUGGUGGACGCAA